rnacentral:rRNA from 1 species
CCUACGGGAGGCAGCAGUGGGGAAUUUUGGACAAUGGGCGCAAGCCUGAUCCAGCAAUGCCGCGUGCAGGAUGAAGGCCUUCGGGUUGUAAACUGCUUUUGUACGGAACGAAACGGUUCUUUCUAAUAAAGAGAGCUAAUGACGGUACCGUAAGAAUAAGCACCGGCUAACUACGUGCCAGCAGCCGCGGUAAUACGUAGGGUGCGAGCGUUAAUCGGAAUUACUGGGCGUAAAGCGUGCGCAGGCGGUUAUAUAAGACAGAUGUGAAAUCCCCGGGCUCAACCUGGGACCUGCAUUUGUGACUGUAUAGCUAGAGUACGGUAGAGGGGGAUGGAAUUCCGCGUGUAGCAGUGAAAUGCGUAGAUAUGCGGAGGAACACCGAUGGCGAAGGCAAUCCCCUGGACCUGUACUGACGCUCAUGCACGAAAGCGUGGGGANCAAACAGGAUUAGACUACCCGUGGUAGUCCGACGACCGUAACCGUACGUAGUCGUACUAGGUUGGUUGGUUCGUUCUACUCGUACUACUACGUAACGUAACGACGUAACGUACGUGAAGUUAGUACCGCCGUCGGGUAGGUACGGCCGGCGACGGUAGUAACGUAAAGGUAAAGUUAGUACGGCGUGAGACGNGACGACGGACGACGACGAGGGAGGAGG